AGAGUUUCUUUCUGGCUCAGGAUGAACGCUAGCUACAGGCUUAACACAUGCAAGUCGAGGGGAAACGACAUCGAAAGCUUGCUUUUGAUGGGCGUCGACCGGCGCACGGGUGAGUAACGCGUAUCCAACCUGCCCACCACUUGGGGAUAACCUUGCGAAAGUAAGACUAAUACCCAAUGAUAUCUCUAGAAGGCAUCAGAAAGAGAUUAAAGAUUUAUCGGUGAUGGAUGGGGAUGCGUCUGAUUAGCUUGUUGGCGGGGUAACGGCCCACCAAGGCAACGAUCAGUAGGGGUUCUGAGAGGAAGGUCCCCCACAUUGGAACUGAGACACGGUCCAAACUCCUACGGGAGGCAGCAGUGAGGAAUAUUGGUCAAUGGAUGAGAGUCUGAACCAGCCAAGUAGCGUGAAGGAUGACCGCCCUAUGGGUUGUAAACUUCUUUUAUAAAGGAAUAACAGGCGCCACGUGUGGUGCUUUGCAUGUACUUUAUGAAUAAGCAUCGGCUAACUCCGUGCCAGCAGCCGCGGUAAUACGGAGGAUGCGAGCGUUAUCCGGAUUUAUUGGGUUUAAAGGGAGCGCAGACGGGUUUUUAAGUCAGUUGUGAAAGUUCGGGGCUCAACCUUGGAAUUGCAGUUGAAACUGGAGACCUUGAGUGCGGACGCGGCAUGCGGAAUUCGUGGUGCAGCGGUGAAAUGCUUAGAUAUCACAAAGAACUCCGAUUGCGAAGGCAGCAUGCCAGGCCGUAACUGACGUUCAUGCUCGAAAGUGCGGGUAUCAAACAGGAUUAGAUACCCUGGUAGUCCGCACGGUAAACGAUGAAUACCCGCUGUCGGCGAUACAAUGCCGGCGGCUUAGCGAAAGCGUUAAGUAUUCCACCUGGGGAGUACGCCGGCAACGGUGAAACUCAAAGGAAUUGACGGGGGCCCGCACAAGCGGAGGAACAUGUGGUUUAAUUCGAUGAUACGCGAGGAACCUUACCCGGGCUUGAAUUGCAACAGAAUUAUUUGGAAACAGAUAAGCCGCAAGGCUGUUGUGAAGGUGCUGCAUGGUUGUCGUCAGCUCGUGCCGUGAGGUGUCGGCUUAAGUGCCAUAACGAGCGCAACCCCUGCCGGCCGUUGCCAUCAGGUGAUGCUGGGGACUCUGCCGGGACUGCCAUCGUAAGAUGCGAGGAAGGUGGGGAUGACGUCAAAUCAGCACGGCCCUUACGUCCGGGGCCACACACGUGUUACAAUGGGGGGUACAGCAGGCCGCUACCGGGCGACCGGAUGCCAAUCUUUAAAUCCCCUCUCAGUUCGGACUGGAGUCUGCAACCCGACUCCACGAAGCUGGAUUCGCUAGUAAUCGCGCAUCAGCCACGGCGCGGUGAAUACGUUCCCGGGCCUUGCACACACCGCCCGUCAAG
rnacentral:rRNA from 1 species